AACCCCAUCAGUACUUUAUUUAAACAUUUAUCUAAAAAUGUAAAAAGUUUAAAAAUAUGUCGUUCUUGUCUUCAAAUACUGACUUCCAAUGCUCGUGAGGAGUGGAGAGCUAGGCAAGGUGUGGGACAAGGCCCUAUGGAGAUUGCCCUGGCCAUCCUAUCACCAUGC